UACCAGCACCCCGAGUGGUCGGGACGUUUUAUUGGGCCUAAAGCAUCCGUAGCCGGUUCUACAAGUCUUCCGUUAAAUCCACCUGCUUAACAGAUGGGCUGCGGAAGAUACUAUGGAGCUAGGAGGCGGGAGAGGCAAGCGGUACUCGAUGGGUAGGGGUAAAAUCCGUUGAUCCAUUGAAGACCACCAGUGGCGAAGGCGGCUUGCCAGAAAGCGCUCGACGGUGAGGGAUGAAAGCUGGGGGGAGCAAACCGG
rnacentral:rRNA from 1 species